UGUCAGUCUUAGUCGUGGAGUGUAUGUGGAAUGGGUGAAUAAUUGUCAGUGUUAGUCGUGCAGUGAAUAUGGACUGGUUCCGGUCCCUUGUACAGUACCCCCAGCUGCUGCAGCUCUGUCCUUCCGAACACCGGGGCGUGCAUAUCGUACCCACGCCCGUACCUCUGCAGAAUCAACAUACAAAACAAACUGUUUGCCCACUUUACCCGUAAUAUUUACACCAUCCAGCCUGGCAACUUCCGGUGGCACAGCCGGACCUGUAUAAGCACACGGAUUGCAGACAUCCCAUGGGGCAUGCUGUUGUUAAAAGCCAAUUAAUUGAUGUACUUCAAAAGUAACGCAAUUAUGUAACAGUCACUUAAUAAAACAUAGAACAACUAU